CGUACAACCUCCGUUUACUCAGGGAUAGCCUUUCGAAAGAAAGAUUAAUACCUGAUAGUAUGGUGAGAUUGCAUGAUAGCACCAUUAAAGAUUUAUUGGUAAACGAUGGGGAUGCGUUCCAUUAGGUAGUAGGCGGGUAACGGCCCACCUAGCCGACGAUGGAUAGGGGUUCUGAGAGGAAGGUCCCCCACAUUGGAACUGAGACACGGUCCAAACUCCUACGGGAGGCAGCAGUGAGGAAUAUUGGUCAAUGGGCGAGAGCCUGAACCAGCCAAGUAGCGUGAAGGAUGAAGGUCCUACGGAUUGUAAACUUCUUUUAUACGGGAAUAAAGUAUCCUACGUGUAGGAUUUUGUAUGUACCGUAUGAAUAAGCAUCGGCUAACUCCGUGCCAGCAGCCGCGGUAAUACGGAGGAUGCGAGCGUUAUCCGGAUUUAUUGGGUUUAAAGGGAGCGCAGACGGGAGAUUAAGUCAGUUGUGAAAGUUUGCGGCUCAACCGUAAAAUUGCAGUUGAUACUGGUUUCCUUGAGUGCAGUUGAGGCAGGCGGGUCGACGCGGCC
rnacentral:rRNA from 1 species